GUUGUAGCUGGGUGGUAGAGCACUUGCCUAACAUGUGCAAGACUCUGGGUUCAAUUCCUAGCACA
rnacentral:tRNA from 1 species